rnacentral:rRNA from 1 species
AGAGUUUGAUCAUGGCUCAGAGCGAACGCUGGCGGCGUACUUAACACAUGCAAGUCGAACGGGGAUCGUUCUGUGAGCAAUCACAGAGCGGUUCUAGUGGCGCACGGGUGAGUAACACGUGGGCAACCUGCCCUUGAGUCCGGGAUACCCCCUCGAAAGGGGGGCUAAUACUGGAUACGUUCCUCGGGUCGCGAGAUCUGGGGAGGAAAGGUAGCGAAAGCUGCCGCUCAUGGAGGGGCUCGCGGCCUAUCAGCUAGUUGGUGAGGUAACGGCUCACCAAGGCUAUGACGGGUAGCUGGUCUGAGAGGACGACCAGCCACACGGGAACUGAGACACGGUCCCGACUCCUACGGGAGGCAGCAGUGGGGAAUUUUCCGCAAUGGGCGAAAGCCUGACGGAGUGACGCCGCGUGGGGGACGAAGGCCUUCGGGUUGUAAACCCCUGUCAGAGGGAAAGAAGGGUGUCGGCGCGAUAACCGCCGGCAUUUGACGGUACCUUCAGAGGAAGCCCCGGCCAACUCUGUGCCAGCAGCCGCGGUAAUAC